rnacentral:tRNA from 1 species
GGUAGAAUAGCUCAGUGGUAGAGUGCAUGCUUAGCAUGCAUGAGGUCCUGGGUUCAAUCCCCAAUAACUCCU